AUUGAACGCUGGCGGCAGGCCUAACACAUGCAAGUCGAACGGAAGAAGGGUGCUUGCUUGUGGUUUCAGCGGCGGACGGGUGAGUAAUGCCUGGGAAUCUCCCUGGCUGUGGGUGAUAACGUCCGGAAGCGGGCGCUAAUACCGCAUAAGUCCUGAGGGAGAAAGUGGGGGAGCUCCGGACCUUACGCUCUCAGAUGAGUGUAGGUGGGAUUAGCUAGUUGGUGGGGUAAAGGCCUACCAAGGCGACGAUCCGUAGCUGGUCUGAGAGGAUGAUCAGUCACACUGGAACUGAGACACGGUCCAGACUCCUACGGGAGGCAGCAGUGGGGAAUAUUGGACAGUGGGCGCAAGCCUGAUCCAGCCAUGCCGCGUGUGUGAAGAAGGCCCUCGGUUUGUAAAGCACUUUUGCUGGGGAGGAAGCGCAGUAGGUUAAUACCAAGCUGUUGUGACGUUACCAACAGAAUAAGCACCGGCUAACUUCGUG
rnacentral:rRNA from 1 species